GAAUUCCACUGUCUUAAGAGCAUUGAGCUCCAGGUUGUUGCAAUGGCACCAGGAUGCCAGCUGCGUCAUUUCCUGUCUGGAAGCAGAUUCCUCUGAUUGUACAAAUUGUACAAACUGAUGCCCUGCGAUUAAUAAGAAAGGUUUCUGAACUAAUGAAACCUUGCCUGAAAGUUUACUGCUACAUUCUUUUUAAUUAAAAGGGAAACGUUUUUCCAAAAACUAAAGAAAUAAACAAAGUACAAAAGAAAUUGGACGAGAUGGAACAGAAAUUAUGCAAAACCACAGAAUGAGCAAGAGUGGCUCUUAAACAUUUUAAACAUUUAUUGUAAAUUAUUUUGGCAUCAGAAGUAAGAGUGCAAUAAAUGCCCAUUUAUGUGGACACUGAUAUUAAGUAGUGUAAAAAAUUCAAAAUAAUUCAAUUAUUUUUCCAAUUUGGAAAUUCGGACAUUUGAAGAUAUAAAUGAUGCAGUAAACUUUUUGGAAAUAACUUUGGAAAUGUAUUUGGAUAGCAACGCUUCAUACUCCAGUGGUCUGAAAUUGCACAAAUGAGCAUUCUCCUGAGAUUUUCUCUGUAUUAGUCUCUGGUAGACUUGACAUUGCAUUAGUGUUGUGUAGAUCCAGCAUUGCUAGAUAUUCUGUUCAAUUUAUUGCUCUGACUUUUAUAGUGUCUUGGAUGUUAAUGACUGCUCUGGAUGACGUUGUUUGAAUGCUGUGGCAAGUUUUCUAUUCCAUUAUUGGUUGUAUUUGGCCUUUUGAAGCCAAGAUUGGAAGAUGUAUCAAGAAGCCAGUGUCAUUGUUGUUUUACACCAGUUGGAAAAACAGUAACAAUUGCAAGUUAAAACAGGGAGUUUUUGUAAAAUGUUUUCUCAUGUAACGAAUGUAAAGUGAAUGUUUUUUACAAAUGGCUGAAAUAUAUUCAAUAGUGAACCGGGUUUGAGGUGUGAUGGCCUAUUCCUUUUCCUGUCUAUUUGUUGAAGUGUGUGUAUCCUUCCACAGAUGUCUCUUAGUGAUUGAAGAAAGCUACUUAAAUAUUGGGUUGCGCUCCACGUGUAACUACCAACCUUCAUUGGUUCAGCUGCUUUGAAAAUUGGUGUGGACCUCUAUGUCCUCCAUUGGUGGAAUAACAUUUGAUCUAUCAGGGUGAAGAAUUAGUUGACUUCCAAUAAAACUGAAUAACAUUCAUUGCGCAGUGGACUUACCUUUUAGUACAGAGUGAAAACUAAUUAUUCAAAAAUGUUUGUGCAUAAGGAAGAAUGGGUAAAAAACAUUGAACUCAAAUGGUAUUUAAACUAUUGCUGCGUUAUAUCUACAGCAGCAGAUUUAGAACACUUAGUUAUCUUUUUUGAUCACUCACUUUCAGCAGUUUUGCAUAUUUAUUUAGCUUGUUGGUAAUAGGGAUGAAGGCUAUCCUUGAAUUAAUUUUUAAGAAUAUAUGCAAUUGGAAGAAACCUCCCAUCGGUUUCAUUAGGCGUGCUAAUGUUUGGUACAAAAACAAUAUUGUUUAAAUUAAACAUGUCAAGGCUUCUAAAAUUCGAUACCUUCAAUCCUCUUUGUUUUCAGAUCUGAAACAUCAUGAGCUAAGUUUAUCAAAUGCUACUUGAUUUUGAUCAACUGAAGUAUGUACUUUUGAGAAUAACAGCAUGCAAAGAGAAUUUAAAUCUUAACUGCAAAAGCUUGGUGAUUUUUUUUAUCUCUAGUUAGUGCCAUUUCUGAAUCUGUCAGUCUCAAACACUGUAUUACUGAAAAUAUACUGGCAAUAUUAAAAUGGCCAAAUAGGGAUGGCAUACCUUUUGUAAACUGGCUAAUUCAAAUAAAAAAUCUCUUGCCAAGCGCAUGAUGUUAUAAUGGUCCAGGUCGCAUUCACAAGCAGAUAUGGUAGAACAAACAAAAGUCGUUUGUGAUGGUAACAGUAGAUUGAUAUUUUACUGUCAUUCGCUUAAAAUUUACUUAUCUGGGGUAAGCGUUGAAUGCUGAUUUACUGAAAACAAUUCCUCAUUGUAUAACCUGGUGUGCAGAAUUAAUUCCAUUCAUUUUAUGUUAAAUUGUGCUCGAAAACAAAGAAACUAUGAGAGUCAUGUUUGUGACAUCCCUAUUUCCAGGUUGGCUACUACAGUAUAAUUUCUGUACAACAUUCAUCGAUUGGAACAAAAUGGCAUGACUGGCAGUUUUCUUCUUGAUUUUUAAAAAAAUACUUGAAAAUUAUCCAAAAAAAAAUUUCUAGUGCCAAUCUACUUCGGCUAAUUUAGAUGAAGGCAAUAUUCAUACUGUGAUCUGCCCAGUGUGACGCUAGCACUUUGUCAUUGGCUACGGAUCAGCUCUAACCAUUUAUUUUUCCUUUUAGCUUUAAAAAAAAAAAAACCUUGAAAAAUAUUUUAAGUUGGAGCGUUGUGGUUGCAAGGUAAACAAAUGGGUGUAGGCAAUAAGAAAUUUCUUUGUAUUGCUGUUACUAAAUACUCUGGUAAAUAGCCACAAAUUGUAUUUCCAUUCUAGUCUCUUAAGUGUUAACAAAUAUCCUUUUGUCACCUGACUAUCAGGGAAGCGUGGUUGAGACUGGCCCUGACCUGUUGUCAUGACACCAACAUCCUAGGUGGGGGCUGUACAGGAAGCUGCUCUUGGAGUUACGUGGUAAGACAAUUUCUGUGCCAAGUUUUUCACAAUCUACAUAGUAUAUUUCGACAAAAAAAAGGUGCACCAAAUGCUGGAGUAACUCAGCGGAUCAGGUAGCUUCUUUGGGGAACAUGGGUAAGUGACAUUUCGGGUCAGAAUCCUCCUUCAGUCCUGACCCGAAACAUGAUGUGCAGAGAUGCUGUCUGACCCACUGAGUUACUCCAGCACUUUGUGUUUUUCUUUUUUGUUAUCCCGCAUCUGCAGUUCCUUGUGUCUAAUAUAUUUUGGCAUUUCAUCUAAAAAGUAAACAGUUGUCAAAACUAAAGCAUUAUAACUGUAAAAACUUUGUUUUCUUUUUAGCACAGCACAAAGUUGACUUCAUCAAAUAACACAAAGUAAACCAAAUAAUUGAAAUUGGAUUUGAAUGUUUUUUAAAAUGGAAUUUCCAAAAAAAAGUUUGGAAUUCUUCAUUUAAUCUCUAUUUUUGUAUAUGACGGAGUCGUGUAUUUGCUCUCCGAAUCUCCGUGGUACUGGAUCAGGAAUGACUAAAUAUAGGUCCUUCGUUCAAAAGACAUAACAUUCACAAAGAAUUCACGAUCAUCAGAAUGAUUUAAAAUACUGAAAUAAAAUUCAGUGGUUAUGGCUAUCAUUCUGUCUAAGUAACAAUAACAUUUGAAGAAACUAUCUGGAGCUCUAACAUUAGGUUUGUACCUUGAAAUUCUCGGCCUUUUCUUAAAUCGUAAAGUGACAGAUACUGUGGGGAUGGAUGCAGUAUGAUGUUUUAAGUAGAAACCAGCUGUAGACAAUUUCUUUUAUUCUGUCAAAUUAUUCAACUAUUUUACUUUAUUUCUUUAAAUUUAUAGAUCAUAAUAGUAUGAGACUUAAAUGCCAUGAUUUGAAUAUUUUGAUCAAAGGCCCUCGAGUUCAGCUUUUAACUGGUCUUUGCAGAUUGCCUCUAUUUUAAAAUACUUCUAGUAACUUUUUUCUUUGCUUAUCUUGCCCAAAAUAUAUAGAUAUCAUUUAAUAAUUAAAUUUUGAUUUUAAUGGCUUUGAUUAGUUAAUGUGAUCUAAAUAAAGUAAAACAAACAUAUUAUAAGCCUUGUUGCAGUUGGGGUUUAAACAGUGAUCCGUCAGUGUCAGUGAUCACCCUCUGAACACUGGAUAACAUUACCAGACACUUAGGAAUAUUUCAUAAUCUUUACGUAUAACAACUAAAUUCUUUAUUUAUUUAUUUUUUUAUAAAAAGACAUGAAUUAAUGAGUAUGUGCUGCUCAUUUUGUACACUGUGAUUUUGAAAUGUUGAUGUUCUAUAUAAAAUAAGAAUUGUUGAUUGUGUUGAGCUUAAUCAAAAAUCUUGCACAUUUGUGAUUGUUUAAUACAAGAUGCCAAACUAUAAUUUACAGUAAUCAUUUGAUGAAAUUAUUUUGAGUUGGACAGUAUCUGUUCCUGAAAUGAGAGAUAAACUAGCCCAAAUAUAUCCUUCGCUAUGCAAGUGAUCAUGAGAGUGAAAUUUCUAACUUUCACGUUUUACAAUUUCAUUUUGUCCACACUGAAAAUGGGUGUAGGAAUUGCAAACCAUGCAUUAAACUGCCAAAUAUACAGUGAACUUCCUACAUUUGACUUUUAUUUUGAAAGUUUGUAAUAGCAUGACACAUCAGCUAAAUCUAUUUUACUGUCAUUUGCGUAAAAUUUACGUAUCUGUCAGAGCAGCAAAGUGGAGAACGUGAAUGUUUUUCUGAACUUCUGACUUGCCAAAAACUAAGCUGAACAAAUUAUUUGUGUAUGAAUAGUGGGUUCUGUGAUUUACAGUGGUACGCGUUGGCUGUAGUGUCUAAUUGUAAGUUUAACUGGUAUUUUGAUAAGUGCAAAUGCGGAAGCUAGAGGCCCACUCAGGUGAGGCUCAUUCAUGUAAUGUUUACUUACUGCAUGUGGAAGUUAUAUUCAAGCUGCAAUGGCAAUAGUAUUUUACAAACAGACCAAGCACAUGCAGCAGACCAUGCAUAUCACCUGCAGCUGAGGUAGACACAAAAUGCUGGAGUACGUCAGUGGGUCAGGCAUCUCUGGAGUGAAGGAAUAGGUGACGUGUCAGGUUGAGAUCCUUCUUCAGACUGGAUUCCUUUUCUCCGGAGAUGCUGCCUGACCUGCUGAGUUACUCCAGCAUUUUGUGUCUACCUUCAUUGUAAACCAGUUCCUUCCUACACAUCACACACAGCUUUGGUCUCUGAUUUCUGAAAUUCAUUUCGCCAAGAUGUGGAAUAAGGAAAUUCUACUUUAACUUAGCCAUAAAACUGCUUUCAAAUUCUAUAACCUCAUUAGUUAUAUCAGCAAAUGGUCGCAUUGCCAUUAAACAAAACAUUUAAUGCUUAGAGGAUUUUCUAACGGCCAAAAACCAGUGAGAAUUAACCGCAUGCUGAAAUUGCUUUUGUUUGCUUUAUCGUGCUACCAUCAAGGUCAGGCUGCUCUUUGGACACUCACUGUUUUGGUAUCAUUGUGCUUGGCAGCAUGGCCAAGAUUUAACAAACAAUUUAGCUCUCUCCAAUGCAGAAUCAUGUCCUAAAGUGAAGAAGAGAAAGUUUGAUCGCUGAGAUAUUUUGACGUGAAAUAAAGAAGCAUUAACGCAAAUUGUUUUGAAUUGUCAAUAUAUAUUUUGUGCUGUUUUGUAGCUUUUAGUGAGAGGACAUGCAACAAACAAAAUAUGCCAAAUGUCGAAGGAAAUGGAUUAACGGUCAUUUGCCAGGUACACUUUGAGCUUGACUUUACCCAUGCAGGUUUUUGUUUAGAUUGUAACAAAUUAGGCAUUCAGGAAAUGUUGAUAAUCAGCUUCAGUUUAUUGAAUAUCCCUUUGAAUGCAUUUGAGGUGUAACAAUUUGGUACAGAACCACAUGAAGAAUUACUUGUUUCAAAGCCAAUUCAAAAUAAAAUCUUUUUGAUUAUAAAUUAGCUUUUCCACUGGUGAAUGUGCAUUAACGUUUACAACACUGUCUGAAGAUCUUGGGAGGGAUCGUGGUGUUUAUUGUGUGGUAGUAAAAAAGAGACCAAAAUAUUGGAAAAACUCCAUAGAAGUAACUAAAUGCAAUUAACAGCAAAACAUCUUGGCCAAUAUUGCAACCAAAUUCAUAAGAUAAUACUAUCACUGUUCAACCUGGAGUAAGUGAUCUUUUCUAGUUCUGUAUUUGUGGCAUAUUUAAGCAGAUUUUGUGUUUCCUGCGGUACCCAUACUGCAUACUAAGUUAUUUGAAGCUUAAUAAGUAAGUUGCUGUUUACCAGUUGAAUAUGUCACUUGCCAAACGUUGAAUAAAUUCGGAACAUUUCGAGCACAUUUGCAUUUGAGCUCUAAAAGCAAAGUUUCAUGUUCCUUAACCAUCAAGUUUCUCUUUGAAGCUGGUGAUUUCUUCUGGGGCAAGUUGGUCAAUGUAGGACAGAAAUGUCCAUUUACUCAAUUCUUCCAACGAGCACCUGGAUCCAUUUAAUCUCAUUAUUUUCUUCUUUCCACAUUGCCUCAAUUUCCCCAGGAUUCUACCUCUCACCUACACACUGGGGAUAAUUUACAUAGCCAAUUAACCAGCCAACCCACACUUUCUUUGAGAUCAUGAAAGGAAACUUGCGAAGUGACAGGAAUAAUGUGCAAACUCCAUGCACACACCACGAGAGGGCCGGAUUUAAUCCAGGAUUUUACGACGAUGAGGCUGUAACUCUAAAAAUGUGCAGCAGUACACCAUUGUGCUGACCCAUAUACAGUUAAUGGACAAUUAUUGUUUGUUUUUUAUGUGUACAUAUGCGCGUAACGUUUUUUCUCAUUUAUUAUAUUCAAAUUCACAUUCACAUUUAUUGUCGUGCACCAAUUAAAAUACAAUGGUACCAUGCAGCCAUACAAUUAAAACAAUACAAUUCAAAGAACGAUAAAACUUAACAUAAACAUCCACCACAGUGAUCGCUGUGAUGGAAGGCAAUAAAGGUCAGUCGGUCUUCCUCUUAUAUUGUUUACAGUGUACUAUGUUUACAUAUUCUGUUGUGCUGCCGCAAGUAAGAAUCUCAUUGUUCUAACUGGGACACAUGACAUUAAAACACUCUUGGUUCCUGAAUCAAUGACAUUCAUCAGAACGUCGAUUGUAUUUCUCUCCACAGAUGCUGCCUGAAGUGCGGUGUAAUCCCAGCAUUUACAGCAUUACAGAUUGUUGUUACCUUUUUAAAUGUUAAAGCAUGUGAUGGCAUCCCACAGUUAAUCUGGCAUCAGCAAACCCGUCACAGAUUAGGAAUUAUUUUUCUGCUUUUCUCUUGCAUACCAUGUGUUGGCAUCUAUAUAUUUUGUCUGUCAGAGAUCUUGCAGCUACUGUAGAUGCAACAUACUGUGGAUAGACUAUUGAAAUUAACUUUGCAGUUUAAAAAAAAUUGUACAAAGACAGAAUCUUCCAUCUUUUAUAACAAAAAUGUACCAUUUCUCUUUCACAGCGCCACUCUCUUUGAAUUUGAAAGUGACUAGAUACAUAAAUGAGGAUUGUUUGCCACUGCAGUAGAUAUGUGCUCUGCUGUACUGCUCCCAGCUUACUGAAUGGAUUCAUGAGCCAAGAAAUAAAUAAUUUGCACCACAGGAUGGCAGUCUGCGUUCUCCAGUUCUGUCAUCUUAGAAGGAACGGACUAUUAUAAAUGUGUAUAUAGGGCCGUACGCAAGUGCAUCUCAAACUUCAAGAACUUGGUGGGUAACUCUGCAAAAGCAAUCUACCAACAAAAUAUCAGUUUUUACUUUGUUUUUUGAGUUGUUUACACUGUUUUCCAUUUAAGUUGACAAUCUCAUGAUGUGGGCAAAGGAAUAGCAUCACGUUCAAGCUGAAAAGAUCUGCUGUACAUGAUGCAGAAAAUUGAUUGGAAAAUUUGCGGCAUGAGAUAAAGAAUAUGUUCCAGUACGUCUUUGCCCAGAGUUGCUCAGUGCCAGUAUGUUUUGAGUACUUGUUAUCCUUUGUAUGCUUUUAAUAAAAUGUUAAUAUGUUGCCACAA